rnacentral:rRNA from 1 species
AUUGAACGCUGGCGGCAGGCCUAACACAUGCAAGUCGAGCGGAUGAAGGGAGCUUGCUCCUGGAUUCAGCGGCGGACGGGUGAGUAAUGCCUAGGAAUCUGCCUGGUAGUGGGGGAUAACGUCUGGAAACGGGCGCUAAUACCGCAUACGUCCUGAGGGAGAAAGUGGGGGAUCUUCGGACCUCACGCUAUCAGAUGAGCCUAGGUCGGAUUAGCUAGUUGGUGGGGUAAAGGCCUACCAAGGCGACGAUCCGUAACUGGUCUGAGAGGAUGAUCAGUCACACUGGAACUGAGACACGGUCCAGACUCCUACGGGAGGCAGCAGUGGGGAAUAUUGGAAAAUGGGCGAAAGCCUGAUCCAGCCAUGCCGCGUGUGUGAAGAAGGUCUUCGGAUUGUAAAGCACUUUAAGUUGGGAGGAAGGGCAGUAAGUUAAUACCUUGCUGUUUUGACGUUACCAACAGAAUAAGCACCGGCUAACUUCGUG